UUGAACGCUGGCGGCAGGCCUAACACAUGCAAGUCGAACGGUAACAGGAAGCAGCUUGCUGCUUCGCUGACGAGUGGCGGACGGGUGAGUAAUGUCUGGGAAACUGCCUGAUGGAGGGGGAUAACUACUGGAAACGGUAGCUAAUACCGCAUAACGUCGCAAGACCAAAGAGGGGGACCUUAGGGCCUCUUGCCAUCGGAUGUGCCCAGAUGGGAUUAGCUAGUAGGUGGGGUAACGGCUCACCUAGGCGACGAUCCCUAGCUGGUCUGAGAGGAUGACCAGCCACACUGGAACUGAGACACGGUCCAGACUCCUACGGGAGGCAGCAGUGGGGAAUAUUGCACAAUGGGCGCAAGCCUGAUGCAGCCAUGCCGCGUGUAUGAAGAAGGCCUUCGGGUUGUAAAGUACUUUCAGCGGGGAGGAAGGGAGUAAAGUUAAUACCUUUGCUCAUUGACGUUACCCGCAGAAGAAGCACCGGCUAACUCCGUGCCAGCAGCCGCGGUGAUACGGAGGGUGCAAGCGUUAAUCGGAAUUACUGGGCGUAAAGCGCACGCAGGCGGUUUGUUAAGUCAGAUGUGAAAUCCCCGGGCUCAACCUGGGAACUGCAUCUGAUACUGGCAAGCUUGAGUCUCGUAGAGGGGGGUAGAAUUCCAGUGUAGCGGUGAAAUGCGUAGAGAUCUGGAGGAAUACCGGUGGCGAAAGCGGCCCCCUGGACGAAGACUGACGCUCAGGUGCGAAAGCGUGGGGAGCAAACAGGAUUAGAUACCCUGGUAGUCCACGCCGUAAACGAUGUCGACUUGGAGGUUGUGCCCCUGAGGCGUGGCUUCCGGAGCUAACGCGUUAAGUCGACCGCCUGGGGAGUACGGCCGCAAGGUUAAAACUCAAAUGAAUUGACGGGGGCCCGCACAAGCGGUGGAGCAUGUGGUUUAAUUCGAUGCAACGCGAAGAACCUUACCUGGUCUUGACAUCCACGGAAGUUUUCAGAGAUGAGAAUGUGCCUUCGGGAACCGUGAGACAGGUGCUGCAUGGCUGUCGUCAGCUCGUGUUGUGAAAUGUUGGGUUAAGUCCCGCAACGAGCGCAACCCUUAUCCUUUGUUGCCAGCGGUCCGGCCGGGAACUCAAAGGAGACUGCCAGUGAUAAACUGGAGGAAGGUGGGGAUGACGUCAAGUCAUCAUGGCCCUUACGACCAGGGCUACACACGUGCUACAAUGGCGCAUACAAAGAGAAGCGACCUCGCGAGAGCAAGCGGACCUCAUAAAGUGCGUCGUAGUCCGGAUUGGAGUCUGCAACUCGACUCCAUGAAGUCGGAAUCGCUAGUAAUCGUGGAUCAGAAUGCCACGGUGAAUACGUUCCCGGGCCUUGUACACACCGCCCGUCACACCAUGGGAGUGGGUUGCAAAAGAAGUAGGUAGCUUAACCUUCGGGAGGGCGCUUACCACUUUGUGAUUCAUGACUGGGGUGA
rnacentral:rRNA from 1 species